rnacentral:rRNA from 1 species
CAAGCCAACAAACCCUGAACACACUGGAUCUCCUCUGAUCUCAGAAGCUAAGCAGGGUUGGGCCUGUCUAGUACUUGGAUGGGAGAAAAGAAGUCUCUUAGUAUGCAAGAUGUUGGAUUCU